rnacentral:tRNA from 1 species
GGGUCGGUGCCCGAGUGGCCAAAGGGAGCAGACUGUAAAUCUGCCGGCAUCGCCUUCGAUGGUUCAAAUCCAUCCCGGCCCA